CAGAAAGACAGACUUCUAGGUACACCCGUGUGCACCUGAGCACACGCACACGGACCUCGGAGCACACGCAAGCGAGGGGAACUGCGCACGCGGGACUCCGGACCCGGUGCUAACCCGGGGGUGGAGAAAGAGAGGGAGGAAGAGCGAAGGCCGGACCUGGACGCCAGCGGGUGCAGCGCGGCCCUGCCUCUGGAACAAGAUUGUUUGUCCUGAAAAUGUCCUUAGCGUCACGAUUCUGCUGCUUACACCUCCGUGAUGUUGCUCGCCAUAUCGCUCCGUCCUGUUUGUCCGGUAGACCCGUCGUUGGAUCCACCUGCACCGUCCAAUAUGGCAGCCAUUAGCCCUCCGUGGCUACCAGACAUCUGAAGUGUGGCUGGUACAACUGAGGAACUGAGCUUUUUAUUUCGUUUAAUUUGAAUUAAUUUAAAUUUUAAAAUGGAUAAUCGGUUCGGUUACAGGAAAACUUUUAAGUAUGUUCAGAACAACUUUUUCUCUUGUGAAUUUACUUUUUCCCUUAUGAAUUUCACAAGCUCUAAAUACGGGUCAAGUAUUUCGAGUGGAUAUUUAGCAUCUAAAUUGAAAUACGUUCUAAGCAUAAAAUACAAACUGGAUUUCAAAGACCGAGUCCAAGAAGAAAGUAUGCGAAAUAUCUCAUUACUAUUUUUAUAUUGAUUACCUAUUGAAAUAAUAUUUUGGACAUAUUGGACUAAAUAAAACAUAUUAUUAAAAUUCAUUCCACGGUUUCUUCUUACCUUUUUAAAGUGGUUACUAGCAGGAAAGUUU
rnacentral:lncRNA from 1 species